AGCAGUAGCCGCGGUAAUACGAAGGGUGCAAGCGUUACUCGGAAUUACUGGGCGUAAAGCGUGUGUAGGUGGUUGUUUAAGUCUGUCGUGAAAGCCCUGGGCUCAACCUGGGAAUUGCGAUGGAUACUGGGCGACUAGAGUGCGGUAGAGGAUAGUGGAAUUUCCGGUGUAGCAGUGAAAUGCGUAGAGAUCGGAAGGAACAUCUGUGGCGAAGGCGACUAUCUGGGCCAACACUGACACUGAGACACGAAAGCGUGGGGAGCAAACAGGAUUAGAUACCCCCGUAGUCCCUGUCUCUUAUAC
rnacentral:rRNA from 1 species